CCCUACUCUCAUCCUCGGCAAGAGUGCGCUCCCAGGGUCAGAAGCAUGGCAGGGAUGCCAGCCUCCACAACUUGGCUGUGGGGGGACCCGCUGCAGAUAUCGGGGUAGGGGGUAGAAAAUGAUCCAGCAACUCAGUGGACCCUGCAUAUGGAGCACAAAACAAUCUAGGUUUGAAAAUGCUGUUCUGGAAAAGCAACCAAGCACAAGGGCAAGUAAAAGGAGGAGGAAGAAGACAAGAAAGAACACACUGAUUUAUCUUAGGGAACACCUUCUCUAUCUCUUCCCAGCCUAAUGAACACCUCCAUGAACCCCUGCAAAAGGUUCAGUUCAUAUAGCGCAUAUGUGUGUGAAUGUAUAUGCUGACAGAUACAGAUCACGUGAGGGAAGAAAAAUAACUCGAACUUCAGACUCUUCCAGCUGCGCCCGAUUCUCUCACUAACAGCCUCCCUACCUAUUCUGAGGUGCUCCAAAGCAAACCAAACAAAAACCAACGCAUAGACAGAAGGAGAACAGCAGCUGAGCCGGGCAGCACCUGCUUGAAGCCUUCCUGCCAUCGACUUCUGAUUCUUUCUGCCUUCUCAAGACGCAGCCACCAGCCUUGGACUAAAUACAGCCCUGGAGAGAAACGGCCUGUGCCGCGACUCUCGCAGACCCUCCCUGGGAGACACGCACCCCCCGCGUGAGCGGCUGAGCCUCGUGAAACGGACAGACCCUCAGGACAGGCUCUGCCCGCACGUGACCCUGAACACUGCGAAAUUCCUCCCUUCUCUAACCGCGCGGCCACCCGAAGUCUUGCCUACACCUAGUACGUGCAGAUGUCAGUUCUGUAAGAACGUAUGCUGGAAGGGCAGAAACGGGGAUGCCCGGAGCCCGAUUUUCUCCUGCCGGUUUCUCUCGCCCACAUGAUGCGCCCAUGCACACGGCUGGAGAAACGCACCCAGAGCUCCCUCUGGCCUCCCAUCUCGAAGGUGUACUCUGACUGUCCAUCCAUCUCCCAUGUCCACGUGUCAGAAGGUGAGCCACGUGCGGAUCCCCAUCCCCAACCUGCAAGAACUAUCAAAAAAUUACAGUUUUCUUUGUAUCAAGACUGUCACUCCCUGAGGGCCCCUCAGCUGAGUUGGGCAAACAGUCCUGUCUCUUGCUUGGUGACACCUGUCCCAUUUUCCCAGGACUAUUCCAAUUUCACUGUAGAAGAGGGGAAAAAAAUCCUACUCCCUGAAAAGGAAACUUACCCAGCACCUUCUUCCUCGCUCUGACAGACUGGACGCAGGCCGACUGCCCUCUCCAAAGCCAGUGGAAGCCAUCUAGGCCCAGUGCCCUCCCUCCACCUCUUCCCCUCCCUCCACCCCUUCCCCAACCCCAAGGAAGUCUGAAGAUUACCUGGCCUCCCUGUUCCUCCACACCUGCCUGCUGGAUUCCGUCUUUCAGGGGCUGUUGGCUUAAGGCUCUCCAGGCUGAGGAGAGCAAAUGGGGGUCUGGCUGUUAGAAACACACUAAAUCGACAAACCCGGCUUCCAAUGUGGAUUACUAGGGAACGUCUCUCAAAGUUGGGACACAUCGCCAAAGGCAAACAGCACCACUUCAAUAAGAAAUAGUGGGGUGGGUUUAGUUCAGCAGUAGAGCAUGUGCUUAGCGUGCAAAAGUCCUGGGUUCAAUCCCUAGUACCUCCAUUAAAAAAAAAGAAGAAGAAAUAUAUUUGAAGAUCUAGAAUAUCGUUUACUGGGGUCAAAGGUCAGGCAAUAUGAAGAGUAGGAACCAGGCAUGAUUAACAUCCCUGCCCACACUCUCCCAUGCCCCAUCCUGUGCAUCUUCUCAUCCUUUUUUCCCCUCCUUCCCUUCCUCUCACUCCUUAUCCAGUUCUUUCCUCUCUAUUUCAGCCUUGCUUCUUGCCCAGAGAUGAGCCUCCAGAGCUCAUAACAACAAUUCUCGAUCUCAACUUGUGUCCCCAGAACUAAAGAAGUGGUGUUAGUGUCUAUUUUCCUCCUUUCAAAGGUACAUCGUUUUCCAGGAGGAGGAAAGGUGAAGUGAAAGCAGAAGAGGGUGCACGUGGCUCUGUGGCCACCACUUCACCCACCAGCCCGUAAGGUCCAUGAGCACAAGGAACUUAUUGCCUCUUGUACCACUUUAUCCCCAGUACCCAGCACAGUAACUAACACAUAGUAGCGGAUGCAUGAAUGGGUGUUGCAGGGAUAAAGAAACAGAAUUAGGACAGCUAUGUGGUAUUUGCUGUACUGGUGGAAGUGCCAUGGGGAGUUUUCUUUCUCUCCCACGUUGCCCAUUAUGCUGUUCAUUCAGCAUUAUCAAGUUCCCCUCAGCUGGACUAGGUCCUGGAGAAAAGACCCAAACGCUGAAUGGGGAGUUGAUGAGGCCAAUUCCCAAAGGAUGGAUCCCAUCACCCAAAAAGGAAGUGGAAAUACCAAAGACAAAUUCAGCCUGGCUUUAGUGUGGUCAUUCCUCCCUUACUGGACACCGUGUGUAAUAAGAGAUCUUGAUCCUGGAAACUGCACUAGAAAACAAAACCACCACUCCCGAAGAACGGUUAAACUCUACCCUGGAAGUGGCCGCAUGCUGUUCACCUGGGGACCCUUGCUUGUACUGUCCUCCAGUACCUGCCCAUUCCCUCCAGCCUGCUCUGCUUUCUAGAGGAACAGAUGAUGGCUGCCUAGCUCCUCCUUCCACCCCAUUGUCAAUUAGCUGUUACCUGUCAGCCAAAAGCUGUGUGUUCCCUAACAAUUCUACUCCAGGAAGCUAUGCCAGAUAUUCCAGAUCACUAAAGUUUAGGUCCCAAGUCUUUAUAUUUCCUUUAAGCCCUUAAAAAUUUUAUUACAGAACCCAAAGUGGAGGUUGCUUAAUAACCCACUGUUGGGCUGCACCCCACAGGCCCACAAGGCCUGUCCUUGCCCAGCUUCAAGACUGAAGAAAGAACCCCGAGUUAGCAACAGAGGCAUCAGUGUUUUAAUGGACAGGGGAGCUUACACGUCUGAAGCAAGGCCCUGGAGAGAUACCCCACCAUGUGAGGUGGUCAGCGGGAGGACAUGGCAGCAGUCUUCACUCCGGAGGGGGGGGUGGAUUACCAGUUAUAGGGGAGUUCUGAUCUAAAACUAGAACAAUCAUAAUCACUGGGGCCUGGGGCAAGUACAUAGGAAGAUCAGUCAGGAGAGUAGGAUACAGGUGAAGGUGGCCCUGGUCCAGCAGAGGACGCACAGGGAGCAAGAGAACAGCCAUCUUGAGUGGCCUGACCGUACACCCAUCAUUAAAGAGUUACUAAUUUUAUGCCCAUCAAGCUCUUUUCCAACCAACUAUCCUGCCAACAGAUCAGGUUUGUGUGGCCCAGGUUCAGACCUGGACAGGUGGUGGAGGGAGAUAUACACUAUCUAAAGCAAAUGCAUAGGUUACAAUUGAAAAUGUCUCAAUUGCCUCUAUUCUACCUUUAAUGCCUAAAAUGAUAAACCAGGAAGGCAGGCUGGGGUGGUAGAGAGAACUAGAAGUCUAGAAAUCUGGGAAACUAGGCUUAAGUCUCAAGUCUGCUGCUAAGUCUGGUUUAAGACACUUUACCUAGCUGAGCCUAUAAAAUCCAGAUUGUAAGAGGGAGAGUGGUAUAUAAACUCGAUGGUUUUAGGAUUUGUAAAUCAGUGUGUUUUCUUCAUAUGAUGAAAAGCUUAUCCAAAAUAUCAUUCCUCCUUGAAAACUUAAGAACAUUUUGGUCUAAAAAUGCAUUGAUCAUAAAUGUUUUAUUAGGUGACCUCAUAUAGCCCUAUAUGAACACCUUGGUUAAAUCUCAACAAGAAAUACUGAAAGGAAAAAUGUUUUCUUAUUUAAAGUUGGGCAUAUCAUCUCCAUCAAAUGGAUGGUUUGACAACACUCUGAUGUUAGAGACCUCACAAAUCCUGCAAAAGUUAUGCUACCUUAAAUUGUAUACAUAGUUUCUAGAAAUAGUUAAGACUUGCUUAGCCAUAUUUCCCAUAAAGGCACACAUCAGAGAUACUGCAGGUUUGGUUCCAGACCGUCACAAUAAAACAAAUGUUGCAGCAAA